UAGUGAGAUAGUUUAAUUUAGAAUAAUUAUUUUACACGUAUUAGGUAGAGUUUGUUCUCUUAUCACUAU
rnacentral:tRNA from 1 species